rnacentral:lncRNA from 1 species
UUUUGCCAAGACAAGUUAACCAAUCUCUCCCAAUAAACGUGUGCAGAAGGAUCCUGUUGCAGCGUCGUUCUUCCUGGCCAGUCGAGCGUGCACAAGACUCAUCCCUUUCAUCCUCCAUGGUCUACAAGAGGAUGUCUCCCCACCAACCCUGCUAGGCCUCCCUACUUCCUGGGGCCUCAAGUAUCUUGAGAUAUCGAGUUUGAUCAGCACCAUUUGCUUAAAAUGCUGUCUUUAUUCCACUGUGUAUUUCUGGCUUCUUCCUCAAAAUGAAAGUGUCCAUAGAUACAGACAAACUGAAACAGCCAGAUUCUUGGGAAUGAACAACUACUACAUGUGUACAUAGGUAGGGGAUGCCUGCUGAAUUAGGGUCUGGGAUAAGGAAAUGAGUUAGAGGAGAGAAGUUUGGGAGGGAAUAUCUCUGUAUCCCCUGGAGAUGGAGCCUGAGAUGAGCAGAAGCCACAGAAGAUUGUCUGAUGCAGAGCUGUGACUCUUUAUCCAUGGAGACAUCUUACUUAUCCUGGUCUGAAUAGAAGUUCACAUGUGAAUCUACAGAAAAAUUAAUCACAAAAGCAGGGAGUUCGUGGGGACUGUGUACCAAAUCCAGAUGUUUCAUCACUGAACUAUGCUUUCAGUCUGCUAAGCAUAACUGUAAGCAUUGGAAAUUGUGACAAUAAAAUUAAAAAGAGAAAGAAAAGAAAAGAAAAAGAAUUCUGAAAUGCAAUAAAAGAAAUCCGAGCUGCUUUGGUACUCCUGGUCUUUUAGGGAAGAAGCCAAAGCAAGCAUAUAAAAGACAUGUUGAGGUCCAUGGAAACUAAGAGGAAACAGCAUAAACGUCUCUCCUCCCCAUAAACUGUAAGAAGAAAUGCAAAUUUUCUGUUUAAGUCAUGGACUCCAACUUACCACUACUCCACAGAGGACUGGGACAAGCCAAAUUACGAGUAUACAAAGGAGCAUGCAAGUACCUAUAUUGAAACAGCAAUUACUGAGCAAAAGAUGAGAUUCAAAUACCUUAAAACAUAGCCCUAUAUUUUCAAAGAGUUCCCAUGACAUCCAAGGACAUGAGUUACGCCUGAGCCCAGCCUGACACCCAAGGCUGUCAAGGAGGAUCAAUGUUCCAGAGAUAAGAUGCAAAGUGCCUGCUGCCUGGCGCCUGACUUCGGCCCCCAUGUCAGCAGAUGCCCACUUCUUUUUUCUUUGUAUAAUUCUCCCUCAACCCCUCCCCUAUUCCCUGCAAUGUAUGCUUUAAAAAGAAGGCACCUCAGCAUAAUAAAUGAGACCUCGAUAGGU